AGCAGUGACAGUGACAAGCGGGGCAGCUGCAGAGCGAGGAGCAGCGGGAUCGCCCUGCCAGCGCCAUGAGGGGUUUCCAGAGGGGCUCCCAGCUCCUGGCAGCCGCACUGCGGAUCAGCCGGGUCCCCCGGGCUCAGCUCCGCUCCCAGCCCCCCGAGAACCCGCUCUCCCCCGCCGAACAAGCCAUCGCCCUCACCGUGAUGUUCUCGUCCUUCCUGGGGCCCACAGGCUGGGUGCUGGCCAACAUCCACUACUACAGGAGCAGGCCAGAGUGAGGAGUGGCUGCCUGCUGAGAGAAUCCCGAGGGAAAGGCCUCGGGACAGAGCCUUGCUGGGAUGGAACCGCCCGAGGCUGCUCAUUAAAAUCCACCCUUGCGUUCAAA